GUAGGGAAUCUUCCACAAUGGACGCAAGUCUGAUGGAGCAACGCCGCGUGAGUGAAGAAGGCUUUCGGGUCGUAAAACUCUGUUAUUGAAGAAGAACGUGUGUGACAGUAACUGGUCAUGCAGUGACGGUAUUCAAUCAGAAAGUCACGGCUAACUACGUGCCAGCAGCCGCGGUAAUACGUAGGUGGCAAGCGUUGUCCGGAUUUAUUGGGCGUAAAGCGAGUGCAGGCGGUCUUUUAAGUCUGAUGUGAAAGCCUUCGGCUUAACCGAAGAAGGGCAUCGGAAACUGGGAGACUUGAGUGCAGAAGAGGAGAGUGGAACUCCAUGUGUAGCGGUGAAAUGCGUAGAUAUAUGGAAGAACACCAGUGGCGAAGGCGGCUCUCUGGUCUGUAACUGACGCUGAGGCUCGAAAGCGUGGGUAGCAAACAGGAUUAGAUACCCUAGUAGUCC
rnacentral:rRNA from 1 species